GCUAGAGCACUUCGUCAAUGUGCUCCCCAACGAGAAGGCGACAACGUCAAUCCAUAUCAACUUUCGAUGCCCUUGACUGCGCCUACCAUGGUGACCAUGGGUAAUGGGGAAUCAGGGUUCGAUUCCGUAAAGUGACCCUGACAAACGGCUACCACAUGCAAGAAAGGCAGCAUGCGCGCAAAUGACCCACUCCCGACACGGGAAGGUAG